AUUGAACGCUGGCGGCAGGCUUAACACAUGCAAGUCGAACGAUGAAACUCUAGCUUGCUAGAGAAGAUUAGUGGCGGACGGGUGAGUAACAUUUAGGAAUCUGCCUAGUAGUGGGGGAUAGCUCGGGGAAACUCGAAUUAAUACCGCAUACGACCUACGGGUGAAAGGGGGCGCAAGCUCUUGCUAUUAGAUGAGCCUAAAUCAGAUUAGCUAGUUGGUGGGGUAAAGGCCCACCAAGGCGACGAUCUGUAACUGGUCUGAGAGGAUGAUCAGUCACACCGGAACUGAGACACGGUCCGGACUCCUACGGGAGGCAGCAGUGGGGAAUAUUGGACAAUGGGGGCAACCCUGAUCCAGCCAUGCCGCGUGUGUGAAGAAGGCCUUUUGGUUGUAAAGCACUUUAAGCAGGGAGGAGAGGCUAAUGGUUAAUACCCAUUAGAUUAGACGUUACCUGCAGAAUAAGCACCGGCUAACUCUGUGCCAGCAGCCGCGGUAAUACAGAGGGUGCGAGCGUUAAUCGGAAUUACUGGGCGUAAAGCGAGUGUAGGUGGCUCAUUAAGUCACAUGUGAAAUCCCCGGGCUUAACCUGGGAACUGCAUGUGAUACUGGUGGUGCUAGAAUAUGUGAGAGGGAAGUAGAAUUCCAGGUGUAGCGGUGAAAUGCGUAGAGAUCUGGAGGAAUACCGAUGGGCGAAGGCAGCUUCCUGGCAUAAUAUUGACACUGAGAUUCGAAAGCGUGGGUAGCAAACAGGAUUAGAUACCCUGGUAGUCCACGCCGUAAACGAUGUCUACUAGCCGUUGGGGUCCUUGAGACUUUAGUGGCGCAGUUAACGCGAUAAGUAGACCGCCGGGGGAGUACGGCCGCAAGGUUAAAACUCAAAUGAAUUGACGGGGGCCCGCACAAGCGGUGGAGCAUGUGGUUUAAUUCGAUGCAACGCGAAGAACCUUACCUGGUCUUGACAUAGUGAGAAUCUUUCAGAGAUGAGAGAGUGCCUUCGGGAAUUCACAUACAGGUGCUGCAUGGCUGUCGUCAGCUCGUGUCGUGAGAUGUUGGGUUAAGUCCCGCAACGAGCGCAACCCUUUUCCUUAUUUGCCAGCGGGUUAAGCCGGGAACUUUAAGGAUACUGCCAGUGACAAACUGGAGGAAGGCGGGGACGACGUCAAGUCAUCAUGGCCCUUACGACCAGGGCUACACACGUGCUACAAUGAUAGGUACAGAGGGUUGCUACACAGCGAUGUGAUGCUAAUCUCAAAAAGCCUAUCGUAGUCCGGAUUGGAGUCUGCAACUCGACUCCAUGAAGUCGGAAUCGCUAGUAAUCGCAGAUCAGAAUGCUGCGGUGAAUACGUUCCCGGGCCU
rnacentral:rRNA from 1 species